rnacentral:rRNA from 1 species
GAUGAACGCUGACAGAAUGCUUAACACAUGCAAGUCUACUUGAACUUCGGUUUGGGUGGCGGACGGGUGAGUAACGCGUAAAGAACUUGCCUCACAGUUAGGGACAACAUUUGGAAACGAAUGCUAAUACCUGAUAUUAUGAUUUUAGGGCAUCCUAGGAUUAUGAAAGCUAUAUGUGCUGUGAGAGAGCUUUGCGUCCCAUUAGCUAGUUGGAGAGGUAACGGCUCACCAAGGCGAUGAUGGGUAGCCGGCCUGAGAGGGUGAACGGCCACAAGGGGACUGAGACACGGCCCUUACUCCUACGGGAGGCAGCAGUGGGGAAUAUUGGACAAUGGACCAAAAGUCUGAUCCAGCAAUUCUGUGUGCACGAUGACGUUUUUCGGAAUGUAAAGUGCUUUCAGUUGGGAAGAAAAAAAUGACGGUACCAACGGAAGAAGUGACGGCUAAAUACGUG